UUCAAUUAAAAAUUCAGUUUCUUGGUCAUAGCCACCUUUCAAGUGCUUAAUAGCCACAACGUGGCUAAGUGACAGUCAUAUCACAGCACAGAAACAGAACAUUUCCAUCAUUGCAGAAGCUUGUAUUGGACAGAAUUUUGUCACAAUGUUUCUCACUUCAAGGUAGCGUAAGACACUUGUGACUUUUGCGACAGCACUGAAGUUUUUAUUCAUUAAUAAUGAACACCAUUUAGCCAACAGGACUAAGAAAUUUAAGUAGGAUGACUUUUGCAUAUUGUUGUUUUGUGUGUAAAGAGAUGAAAGAUUAGUUUUAUACAUAUAAAGCAGUACACAUUUAAGUUGCUGAUUUAUGGACUAUGUGGGUUAAGCAAUUUAAGAAUUGGCCAGACUUUUAUAUUUAAAAUAUAACUUGAAUUGAAACCUGGUUUUCACAGCCCACCACGAGUGUGGCCUUCACUGUACCCAUGAUCUGGCCAAGUAAGAUCUCCGUGUUAAAGUCCUUUGAUCCAUAAUCAAAUCUUUAAAAAAAUUGUAUUUUUAAAAAUUGAGGUGAAAUCCAUAUGACAUGAAAUUAACCAUUUGAAAGUGAACAGUUUGGUGGCAUUUGGUACAUUCACAGUGCUGUGCAGCUUACUACCUCAAGGUUCCAAACAGUCUCAUCGCCUCCAAAGGAAAUCAUACUUUUCAAGCAAUUGUUUAACACUCCCCUUUUCCCAGCUUUUGGCAACCACCAAGCUACUUUCUGUGUGUAUGAAUGUACCUAUUCUGAAUAUUUCAUGUGAAUGGAAUUGUACCUGUGAUCUGUUGUGUCUGGCUUAUUGCACCAUUAUCAAAUUUUAACUAGUUUUAAGAUUCACAGUAUCAUCUUUGUUAAACCAUAGGCAGUACUGUUGCCUGACUGUCUUUUGGUAAAAUCUUUCACUUCUUGUUUUAAAAUUUUGGGUAAUAUACCUUUUAUCACAGCCAGUUCAUUAAUCUUCCUUUACCAUAAAGGAUAGCAUUCGUUUCUUUUAAUUUGAGGUAUGGCAGUUUUAUUAACUAGUACACUUCUGAUAAACUUUCCCACCUAAUUAGAAUUGUUCUUUUUUGAAUACUUGAUGAGGGUGUGUACUUGAUGAGGAUGUAUCUUCUGAACAUGGAGAUACCAUUAGGAAAUAUGAAACUGAUUUCAUUCCUUGGGAGGUUGACUAACUUCUCUUCGACUAGCAGAUAUGAAGUGUGCAGGACUUGGAAAUCAAGCCCCAAUGGUUAUGUUUGCCAGCCAUGAACAAGUGACUUUGGAGCUGGUAGAAUUACAAGCCUAUGCUCAUUAGUAGCGAGUAAAUCUGGAUGUGAUGUAUAUUAUGAAUAAUAGGAGUAGAAUGAGAAAGGGUUGGAGAUGUGUGUGAGAGAAGAGACUGGGUACAAAUACACUGACAAGUUUAAAUGUAAAGAACAUGUUGCUGUAUCUGUGAUUUUUCUGGUUCAUUGCUCCAAAAACAUCAGUUCGCAGAUGUUGCCACCAUUGCCAUUUGAAUUGUAACGUGAUCCGUGGUCUGAAUGCAAGGAUAAGCUUUUUUUCUUCCAUCCUGGGGAAACUAUUGUCAGCUUCUUAUUUUGAGGCCCUUUAAUGUCAUCAUUACGUGUAUAUUAAUAACUUAAUUGCUGUUUGUACUUGACCCUGUCCCUGCCUCUGUAAGCUGUACAAACUCAAGACAAAUGCAUUAUAAAUGUAGGGUGUUUUGAAAAAUGAAACCAUGAACAGAUUUUUAUUAUGCUGCGUUAUGCAGCCAUGGAGGUAGUCUUAUGACUGAUGUCACUGUCCUGAGAGGUGCCUUACAGCCUUAGGCAUGUAUUGUAUAUUUGUAAAUCUAAGAGUUGGUUGUAGAACCAGGUGUUGAGGUGUGUGUACUGUUGGGUCUUAUAAAGCCCAUUUGCAGUUUGGGAUGUCUUAUAAGUGAUGAGAGAGCCCCCCAUACUGAUUGUCUCCGUCUUCCUUGCCUUACAAUGCUUGACCAUCCUAACUGUGUCAUCACUUACUCGGUUUACUUUUACUGAGGGAUUUUCAGCAGGGGCUGUCUGAGGAAGGGCAAGGUGGCAUUUGUGUAACUUGGAGAAGCCCAUUCGAAUAUGUCAGAAUGUUUGGUAAGUUACCGCUUACUUCAUAGGGUUUGGGGGGAGCUUAAAUAAGAUAGCAAUCAGCACAUGAGGGCUCAAUAAAAAUUUAAAGGGAUUUAGGGUAAUUUGCCACAACCUCCAACCCUGCCUCCAGCACUGUGGAUUUGUGAGUGUUUCUAUCCCUGUCUGGCCCAUAAUAGAUGUGCAGUACAUGUUAGUUGAGAGAAUUGAACUGAUGGCUCAUUACAUAUUAGGGAGUGGGGAGUCACUUGUUGAAUAUCUCUUAGGUGCGAGGAGUUCUUUAAUUGAAACUAAACAAAUGCUUAUUCUCAUUCAGUGCUCUAAGCAGUUCUCUCAGGCAGAUGACAUGCCAUUUCCAUGAUUCAGUGAAAUAAUUGCCUCUCACAACUUGUACAUGACACUGUAGGCUUUAAAGCCAGGAGUCAGCCCAGUGCUGGCCUCUCAGCACCAGCGUCUGCUGCCUCCUCCAUCCUGAGGUUCGCACGUCAGCCUGAUCACCUAGCACUGCCUGACUUUCUCUGGAAGUUGAGUGAUUUUUCCUUACUAUACCUGUAAACUUUUCUUUUAAAUAGGAAGUGAAAAAAAAAUCUUUUGUGAAGUACAAUUCCUCUUCCUUCCAAACCUAGUUCAAAUGCUUUUUCCAUUUCUGUUAACAUCCUGCUAAUCGCAUAGGUUGGGGUGUCUUAGACCCUUCACUCUUCCUUCCUGCACCUGUCCGGUGUCACCCCUGUUACCUCUGUGUUUAGCCUCUCCUCUCCAGCUGCACUGCGCCGCGGUGGGAGCCAUGCUGAUGUUGCUGGCUGAGGUGUCUUUCCAUUCAAAGGUCAUCCAAAUACCACUGUGUAGGAUCAUCUGCAGCUGCGACGCUCAGCAUGUCACUUCUCAAAAGAUCUUGGUUGCCCUUUACCUUUCAGGGGCAAGAAACUCCUUUCUUCACUACUUCAUAUUAUGGAAGAUUGGGCCCAAAACUUUUCUUGACUUACAGGUCUUAACACUCCAGGGGAGUGAGUUUAAAUGUAACUUUGAGAGAUUAUGAAUUCACUGUUUAUUGGUGUGCAGGAUUCAUGUGACUUCAAAUUCUUCAAUGUCUUUUUUGCAUCUUGGAGAUUCUUUAAAGCAAGGGCACUUUCAUACCGGAGUAUCAUUAGGCUUUCAGAUAUAAAAAUAAACUUAAACAUUUAAGUAUCAGUAUAUAUUUCUCAUACAUCUCUUUCAGUAAUAUCAUAAGUAGAUUUUCAGCGUGACAAUUGUGGAAACUGGAUUGUUUCUUGAUCUUAGAAUUCUAAUAGAGGGACAAAAACAGUGUCAUUUUAAUCAUCAUUUCUGAGAUGUCAUAAGGGCCCAUACACAUUUCAGGGACUUUAUAUGAAUGUCCUUUGUACUUUCUUGGUAUCAAAUAGAACUUAUUCCAGGAUCUUGAUGAUAAAAUAUGUAUGAUUAUAGAAUUUUUAAAAGGGCUAAUCAUAGCCUUCUUUGACUACAGCUACCAAGAGAAACUAGAGAAGUAAUGUGUCUUUGUUGAGCAAAAUCUUACUAAUCUGAUCUGUGUAUGCUGUUGAUUACUCUUUAAAUAUCUGUGACAGAAAAGUUUUUGAAGCAAAAUACGAGAACAAGCAUACUUUUAUGAGUACAUUUCCAUUACUGAAAAGGUUUCAAAAUUGGCUGUGAUUGGCAGAUUUUUAGAAGUAGGUUAAACAGACUUAUAGUUUGAAAACCUGAGUUAGUUGCCAUUAGUUAGGUCUGGAUUGUUGAGAUUUUUGUUGGGUUAUUGAAUUUAUGUUUUUACUGUAUUUUAGAACAUAAAUAAAAUGGAUGUGUAAUUUCAAUUUUUAAUAGAACUUAUUUCUAUUAAAUAGCACCUGUGGAACUUUCUCAAGAGGAACAAUUGUUGUGUGAAGGUUCAAAUUCAGCUGUUAGCAUGGAACUUUCAGAACCUGUUGGUAAGAAAAUUUCUGACCAUAUGAAUACAGUAUUAUGAAACUCUUUCACUCUCAAGAUUUAAGGUGCACAUUAGAAAAUGGGGAGACAGAAAUGUCCCCAGAAGAAUCAUGGGAGCACAAAGAAGACAUCAGUGAAGCAGAGCCAGUGGGUGGCUCCUUUGGAGGUGGAAGGCCCCCAGAGGAAAGUGCCCAGGAGAUGAUGGAGGAGGAAGAGGAGGUACCAGAACCCAAAUCUGUGGAUACACCGCCAGGUGCUCCUAAGAAGGAACAUGUAAAUGUAGUAUUCAUGGGGCAUGUGGAUGCUGGCAAGUCAACCAUUGGAGGACAAAUAAUGUAUUUGACUGUAAUGGUUGACAAAAGGACACUUGAGAAAUAUGAAAGAGAAGCUAAAGAGAAAAAGAGAGACUUCGUAUAAUAAACUUUUAUGAUAAUGAUAAAUACCUUUUAGGGAAAUGCUGCCUGCUUAAUGCUUUUGCAGUCUACUAAGAUGUAAGUUCAUGAAGUCUAAAAUUGUGUCGUAACAAAGGAAAAGCUUCCCUUCCCCUCACAGCACACAGCAGAUCAGUUCGUCAUGACUUUAUAACUUACACAGACAAAACUUGGAAACAUCCAAACAACCUGUU